CUAUCUGUUUGGUCUGGGUGUGCCUCCUUCUGGUUUCAUGGUUAGAUGGGACUUCCACCUGCUUAACACAUCUCCCCCCAAGUCAAAUCUGUCUUGGUGGCCUCUGCGAAAGUCCCAGGGUUGGGGCCAGUGAGUGUGACAGACUCUGGUCACUUGCUAAAGCGAUGACUAAAGGUGUGAUGAUGGGUGGGAUGAGCUGGAUGCUGGGCGUUUAAUUGCCGCCAAAGUCUAGACAAGCCUCAUGGACAGGGAGAGAGAGUCUCCCCCAAAGAAGACUGGGGCGUUCCUCCAGAAGGGGAAGGAACAGAUGCCGAGUGGGGAGAAAAACCUAGUGUGAACACUCAGGAGGGAGAGACAGGAAGAUCUUCAGCAGCUGGGCUGGGGGCGGAGUGCAGGGGGAGAGUGCUUGCCUAAGUGUGAGCAAGGCCCUGGGUUGCAGCCCUGAAACCUCCAGAAUCAGGAGCCUGGCUCUUCUGGGUUCUCCUGAUUAGACCCCCUAAUCGGCAGGCACACAGGCUCACCUUCUGCUCUAUACCUUCUCCAUGACUGCUUGGGACACCCUGCAACUCCUGUCUGUCAUCUGUACCCGGCCCUGUUGUGCGACAUGAAUUCUGUCCAGAGUUCCGGAAGUUGGCUCCCUUGUGCCAGCCCGAGUCUCACAGACAUCCCAGCAUCACUCUGGUUAGGGCUGUGGAAGACUGUGACCACACCUGGGCCUCCUGCUUGCUGCUAGAGUUUGAGGGUAAAAGGACCAGCCGAUCUCGUGCAAAGUGGGGGAGACAGAGUUGAGCUGCGGUCACGUGACAGGCAGGUAGUAGCCAUCAUGGGCCAGGCCGGGUGGAGCAGCAGUACAGGAACAUCAGCAUUGAGGAUUCCCGGCAUCAGGGAGGAGCCAGUUCCUGUCUCUUCCCCAGACCAGGUAAAGAUAACUGAGGACAGAACCUCAGAGAAACCAGGCUGUGGGUUUGGAUCUCAGCUUGCUGUGUGGCCAAGCACAAGCUAAAUGACCUCUCUGUUUCUCCGGGUCCUGUCUAUAUGCUGGGGAAUACUGAGAAAGUUUCAGAGGAGUCCCUGACUCACGUGCACGGAAGGCCUGGGUUUUGUCCCGGGGAAGGGGGGGGGGUUUCAGAAGUUCAAGGUCAUCCUUGGCUACAUAGUGAGUUUGGGACCAGCCUAGGCUACAUGAGACCGGGCAUAAAUAACAUACAGUUCUCCUGAUACUGUAGAAAAGAUGGAGUCUGUGUAUUCCAAGCUGUGUUUGGAGGCACCUUGCUCAGCAGCUCUCACGGUUGAGUGCUUGGCGGCGGGGGGUAGUAGAUGCCUGUGAUUUUGCCUGUUCAGCAUCUAUGUGCUGGGAGACCAUCUCUCUCCAACCUUCUUACCCAAGGUGGGGAGGUUUGUGAUCCAGACGGGGCCAGAGUCAGGACUUUCUGAUUCUGGGGUGUGAUCCAGACCCAAUGAGUUGAGCAGAGCGACUCGAUGUCGAAACCAUUGGGGAAAGGUAACUCGACUGCUCUGGGCUCUGCCAUGAGUGAGUUACCAGCUGGUGAGUCAGAGCUCGCAGAAGGAUGUCCAGUGGCAGAGAGCAGAGAUGUGGGCAGACGUACGGAAAGACGCUGGUGUGCCAGCACACGCCUCUUCUCACACGAAGCGACUUUUCUCGUCUCUCUCGGAUAUAGCUGAAACCUAGACAUGCUUCUUCUGGCACUUGGAGCUUUCUUGCUCUUUCUCUACAUCGACCCUGACCUCUCCCACCAUGUGGCCAUGUGCUGACCUCCAUGUGCUGAACAAGCUGCCCACAUCAAGGCAUGGCCUCCCUCUCUCCCCUCGGCAUCCCUCUUCCCAGUGGCUGUCAACAUUUCCAGCCCGCCCUGUGGUUUUCUCUCAAACUCUAAUAAAAUUCUCCUUGUGCUUCCGACAGUCUGUUCCUAAAUGCUUUGACUCACGAGACCAGUGAGGGAACACUGAUCCCCCCAGUGACACUCCUAACAUGAGACUCCCCCAGAGUUCCCAGUGGUGACACCUCUGUAGCAAGCACCUUACCCAUGAGGCACCACCCACCCCACCCCACUUGGUACUGGCGUCUUUUAUUUCUGUGUUUGUAUCUUUUCCUCCGUGUAUCUUUUUUCCCUCCUUGUUCUUCAUUUUGAAUGAUACCUGCCAUGGCGUUAAAUGUAUUGAUAAUCUUCUUUCGCAGCCUUUAAUGUGCUAUUAAACUAAUGAAUUUUUAAAAGAUAUUGACUUUCAUCUCUAGAGGUUCCGACUGGUGCCUUCCCCUCUUCCUUUUCUUCCUCUUCCUCUUCUUUAUUUUUAAACAGUCUCCACUCUGUGUGUGUGUGUGUGUGUGUGUGUGUGUGUGCGUGUGUGCGCGCGCGCGCGAGUGCACCUACAUGUGGACAUCAACAUCCAGUGUCUUCAGUUGCUUUCCACCACUUUGUUUUUUAAAGAUGAAUUUUGAUUUAUCUUUAGUAACGUGUGUAUGAUGCGUGGCUGCAUGUGGGCAGGUGCCCAUAGAGGCCGUCAGUCGUUGGAUCCCUCCAGAGCUGGAGUUACAGGUGUUUGUGAACGGACAAAUGGAGGGGGUUGACAACAGAACUCGGGUCCUCUGGAAGACCAGGAAGAGCUCCUAAGUGCUGCUCCAUCUCUCCAGCCAGAGACAGAGUCACUGAGCCUGGAGCAUGCUGAUUCAACUCGUCUGGCUAGCUUGUGAGCCCCAGAGAUCCUCCCGUAUCGUCUCCUCAGCUUUGGGAUUGCAGAGCCGUGGAACCACGUCUGUCUCAGUUGGGCUUACAAUUGCCGCGAUUGAAACACCCUGACCAAAGCAACUUGGGGAGGAAAGGGUUAAUUUGGCUUACACUUCCACAGGACUGUUCCUCACUGAAAAAAAGUC